AUUCAGCUGACGAGUCUCAAACAGAACGAAACACAUGUUCUGGAU
rnacentral:hammerhead_ribozyme from 1 species